rnacentral:piRNA from 1 species
UACGGAGGCAGCUCUAAUGGGACAU